GCCAGGGUAGCUCAGUGGCAGAGCACACGCUUCAUAAGCGUGGAGUCGAGGGUUCGAUCCCCUCCCCUGGUA
rfam:Candidatus Gottesmanbacteria bacterium RBG_13_37_7 RBG_13_scaffold_6177, whole genome shotgun sequence.